GUUAGAUCAUUUUGAGUCAGUAAUAAUGCAGGUUUAGCUAACACUGUUUCGCCAACAGUCUGUUUAACCAAUAAUUUAUAAUUCAGUUAACAAGAGGUAAUAAAUGAGAUGGUGUGGUUCACCAUUUACUUGGAAUUAAAACUUCAUAUGUCAACUGCUGUGAACUGAAACUGGCAGUAGCUAUGUAGUACUACUCUGGAAAUGAUCACGUAGAAACAAACUAUAUAAACUGAGUCAGACAAUCCUUUCUAUGGCUUAAAACAAAUACUUUUAACGGUCAAUGUGGUCAGAUACUGCACUUUAUUCAAUGAUACUGUAAGAAAAGUUGUUAAAACAGACAAGGUCCAUCAUAUCUGUAAAGUAGCAAGUCUGCUCGGUAUUCUAUACAAUAUGCUAAGUGCUAGUAUUGGUAUGACGUUGAAGUCUAAUGCAUCUCAACUGAUAAUUACCAAUUUUGCAAGUCAUUUUAACACUAUAUGCUACUUCAUUUAGAGAGCCAUUUUGCAUUGUGUUUAUUUUAUUUUUU